UCGAACGGUUAAAGCACCUUCGGGUGUGUAUAGAGUGGCGAACGGCUGAGUAACACGUGGGCAACCUGCCCUUUGCAUCGGGACAGCCUCGGGAAACCGUGGUUAAUACCGGAUACUCCAUCUUUCUCACAUGAAAAAGAUGGGAAAGUGUUUCGCGGCAAGGGAUGGGCCCGCGCCCUGUUAGCUUGUUGGUGGGGUAAAAGCCUACCAAGGCAAUGAUGGGUAGCCGGAUUGAGAGACCGACCGGCCAGAUUGGGACUGAGACACGGCCCAGACUCCUACGGGAGGCAGCAGUGGGGAAUCUUGCACAAUGGGCGAAAGCCUGAUGCAGCGACGCCGCGUGCGGGAUGAAGGCCUUCGGGUUGUAAACCGCUUUCAGCAGGGACGAGGCGAAAGUGACGGUACCUGUAGAAGAAGCCCCGGCUAACUACGUGCCAGCAGCCGCGGUAAUACGUAGGGGGCAAGCGUUAUCCGGAUUCAUUGGGCGUAAAGCGCGCGUAGGCUGCCCAGUAGGUCGAGAGUUAAAUCCGGGGGCUCAACCCCCGUCCGCUCCCGAUACCGCUGGGCUUCGAGUCUGGUAGGGGAAGGUGGAAUUCCCAGUGUAGCGGUGGAAUGCGCAGAUAUUGGGAAGAACACCGGUGGCGAAGGCGGCCUUCUGGGCCAUGACUGACGCUGAGGCGCGAAAGCUAGGGGGGCGAACAGGAUU
rnacentral:rRNA from 1 species